AUCAACUGUUAACCCUUUGCGCAAGUCUCCGUGCUAUUGAAUCAGAAGCAAAGAAGAGAAAUGAAAGGAGCUCUUAGAAAGGUAACUGAAUGCGUAUCCGGUGUGGCACUUGACUUUCAGGAAGAUAAGUGGGAUAUCGCUAAAUGGAGUAUACCUCUAGAAAUAGAAAUUCCGAUUGAAUGGACAGAUGUCUUCUUUAAGAAAGUAAGGCACUAGGCGUAGGAGAAAGGACAACAUGCCCCUAAUCGGAUUGAAGGCCAGACUGCACAUUACAUUCAGGCACGGAAUCCACUGUGAUCGAAUAACUCCAUCCCUGGUUGCAUAUGGUUGACAGUUACGCUCUAACAAUCAGUUACUUGUGACUCCGUAAUCUCAAAUAGAAGAGCUUCUGUCAAU
rnacentral:lncRNA from 1 species